UGAUCAAGAAUAUCGAUCACUGCUCCUGUUCGUGUUCUCUUGCGUGUUUCCUCUAAGAGAGUAUCCAGCAGCAGAUACCGGCUCUCAUGGGAUUACUUGAAGGACUUUCGAUUAUGCAGGGAAAGCCUUUUUCAGAAGUAUGGAUAUCUCCUUGGAGCUCACUUUCCUUAUAUCCCUGGACAGUAUAAACCCGGUUCAGAUGGAAAUCGUGAUCUGCAAAGUGCAGCUCUGCUGGCAGUUUCCAUGUCACCGGAUGAUAUUGGAUUAUGUUGGAUGUGGAUAAUGCUGGUUGACACAACCAGCUGCCGGUCACUGCUGCUAGUGCUGCUGACUUCCAAGGCUGACUUGCCAGAUACUAUGACUCCGACUGCUGUACCUCCCCUUAGAAGAAAAAAAUUCCAAAUCCAGACCAAACCAACAGAUCAACCCACAGAAAGAACAAAGAAAGGAAGAACAAAGACCAAUAUAAACUAUAAAGAUUGA
rnacentral:lncRNA from 1 species